rnacentral:rRNA from 1 species
CCUACGGGGGGCUGCAGUGGGGAAUAUUGGACAAUGGGGGGAACCCCGAUCCAGCCAUGCCGCGUGUGUGAAGAAGGCCCUCGGGUUGUAAAGCACUUUCAGUGAGGAAGAACGCCUGGUGGUUAAUACCCAUCAGGAAAGACAUCACUCACAGAAGAAGCACCGGCUAACUCCGUGCCAGCAGCCGCGGUAAUACGGAGGGUGCGAGCGUUAAUCGGAAUUACUGGGCGUAAAGCGCGCGUAGGUGGCUUGAUAAGCCGGUUGUGAAAGCCCCGGGCUCAACCUGGGAACGGCAUCCGGAACUGUCAAGCUAGAGUGCAGGAGAGGAAGGUAGAAUUCCCGGUGUAGCGGUGAAAUGCGUAGAGAUCGGGAGGAAUACCAGUGGCGAAGGCGGCCUUCUGGACUGACACUGACACUGAGGUGCGAAAGCGUGGGUAGCAAACAGGAUUAGAUACCCUGGUAGUC